rnacentral:lncRNA from 1 species
CCCCGACCCCGCCGCGGUCCGGCCUCGACCCCGCGGUCCCCAGCCCGACUCCGGCUCCGCUCGCCAGGUGCCGCCAGACUCGCGCGGGGCUCAGGCUCUCCACCGGGGGGCGCCUCUCGCCUCCCCUGCGCCGCGCGGCGUCCGGGGAGUGGAAACGCCCGGGCGGGCUGACUCAGGAAGAGGAGACUGAGACACAGGUUUAAGUGAUGUACCCAAGAUCACGGAACUAGUAAGUGGCCGAAUCCGCGUUCAAAUCCAGACGGUCUGGCUCCAGAGUCCGCCUUCUACCCCACCGUUGGCUGCCUUGGUUCAGCAACAGUGACUGUCACACGGAGCCCUCAGGAGUCGCGCUGACAAUGGGUGGGCCCUGCCUUCAAGUUCCACACUGUCUGUUUGUGUCAUUACAACACUACUGGAAGUAGGUGCAGUUAUAGACCCGCUGUUCAAGGUCAGCUGAAAUGAAAGUCAGGUCACACGAGUCCAAACUGUGGGGCCACUUAACCACCAACUCCAAGCAGGAAGGUGGACGAUCCCAGACUCGGUCGAAGACAAGCAUGUCUGGUUUGCUUGUCUUCCUUCUCAACCUGAAUGGCACGAACAUGGAGAAAUGCAUACUUACCCUGCCAGCUGGAGAAAACUGGAGACGAAGGAGGGAGCCAGGAGUUUCUACUUUGCCUUCCACCAGUUGCUGACACUUUCUGAACCCCGUCUGUAAAAUGAAGUCAUGCUGCCCAUCACUCAAAGUUGUGUGAAUUGAGAGAGUGCUCAUAGUGCUCUGUGAAUUGCAUAACAUCCAUUUUGCUGUUGAAGAUCAUUUAUUUUGGGUUCUUAGUCUCUCACAAAACCUUAGAACACUGACACCAAGACUCCAGCCUUUCCCUUUCGAAACAUAAUUCCCGUGCGCACCUAAAUGAUACUUUAUUUCAAGAAGUAGAACUGACACCCACACCUCAGCCCCAGAAUUAUUCAGAAUUAGAGAAUUUCAUCAAGAGGGAAGUUAUCCCUUCUAAAACAUCUUCCUCAUUACAGGAAGUAAGAAUGGCAGGAUAACAGUUUCUAGAGUGGAAAAGUGGAGCUCUGGCCUGAUUCUAUCAUCAUGGUGUACCCAGGGAGGCCUCAUUUCCUGGUAUCAAAUUCUCUGUGUUAAGAUAUCUAUGGCCCAAUUCAAAAUGGCUUAAGCAAUAAGAAGGUUUGUUUUCUCACAUAAUAAAAUGUUUGGAGGUAGGUAUGUCCAAGGUUGGUAAAGAGGCAGUUGAACAAUGUGACCAAAGACUCCAGUUCUGGCUGGGCCCGGUGGCUCACACCUGUAAUCCCAGCACUUUGGAAGGCUGAGGCAGGCGAAUCACUUGAGGCCAGGAGUUCGAGACCAGCCUAGCCAACAUAGUGAAACCCUGUCUCUACCAAAAGUACAAAAAUUAGGCAGGCAUGGUGGCGCGCGCCUGUAGUCCCAGUUACUCCAGAGGCUGAGACAGGAGAAUUGCUUGAAACCGAGAGGCAGAGGUUGCAGUGAGCUGAGAUCAUGCCGUUGCACUACAGCCUGGGUGAGAGAGUGAGACUCUCUCAGAAAAAAAAGACCCUGGUUCUGUCUAUCCUUUUGUGCCAUCAUCCUUGGUGUUCUGUUAUCCUGCGGUGUGCCCCUCAUGGUCCCAAGAUGGCUACUGUAGCUCAAAACAUCACAUCAUUACAUGCGAAUGUCCACAAGUGGAAGUUAGGACAUCCCUUCGAGCCUCUUUUUAAGAGUGAAGAAACCUUCCCUGGCUGGAUGCAGUGGCUCACACCUUCUGACCUUCCACUCCUCAAGCCCCGGAGUCAACUCUAGUCACACUGGCCUCCUUGCUGUGCCUCUUCCACAGCGAAUGUGUCCUGGCCUCAGACCCUUUACAUUUGCUGUUCCCUGUGCAUGGAACGCUCUUCCCUCAGGUCAUACAUAGCAUACAUUACUGAGUGCUCUCCAUGUGCCCAGCAUGGUUUGAUGCGCUUUACAUAUAUUAACUCAUGGAACCUAACAGCUUUAUGAGACGAGUCUGUUAUCUCCAUCCCCAUUUGAUAGAUGGGGCAUCCCUGUGGGAGCUCUGCCCAUUCCAGAGGUGCCAGGCCAUUCACUAAUGGGGGCAGGAGCCGGUGAGUAAAUGCCAGUCUUGUGCUGUCACAGGUGGACGAUUCAGAGAGGUGUUCUAGACCAUUCAGAUCUUUCUGGAACCUUCUCAGAGACCAGAAGUACUCAGCCCUAUUGCUACAACUGACUUCACUAACACACCCUCUGUCCCAUUCCUCCCACCCCUUACUUCUGCUUCCAGGGAUCACCUCCCACAUAAACGACUUACACUCAAGUCUCAGACUUGCUAUCAGGGAACCAAAACUAAAACAAAAGGGAAACUUGAUACUGGGUCAUCCCCUAUAGUUCUGUACCUUGCCUGGGUUAAAAUUGCACUAUUUUAUUAGAUGUGUGACCUUGGGCCAGUCACCUGUCUGUGCCUGUUUCCUAAUCUGUAAAACGGACAUAAUGUCACCUAAUUCACAGGGGUGUUGGAAGAGUGAAGAGAGAUGGUGUUAGGUGAGGUCCUUAAAACAGUGCACAACGCAUUAUAAGUGCUCAAUAAAUGUUUGCUACUAGGCUUGAUGUAUUAGUCAAGACUUUUGUUUGCAAGUGACAGAAAGCCAAAGUGAAUUAGCUUAAUGAAAAUGGGGAUGC